UCCGGUAGUGAUGGCGGAGGGGUUCCACGCGUACCCAUCCCGAACACGACCGUUAAGCCCUCCAGCGCCGAUGGUACUUGGACCGCAGGGUCCUGGGAGAGUAGGACGCCGCCGGGC
rnacentral:rRNA from 1 species